GAGGAAAGCAUCAAGGUGCCAUCAGAGGAGAUGGAGGAAAAUGCAUGUGAAUGUAAAGGUGUUUUUGCCAAGGAGCUGAAGCAUCUUCUUGGACAUGUAGAGGGAAAGAACGACAACGCCAAGAAAGUUCUCUUGAAACUGAAGAUAAAUGCGAGGCAUCUACCAACAUACCAAAAUGCCAACAUCAGCUGCCCGAUGAAAGAGAGGCAGAUGCCUGCACAGAAG